CCUACGGGAGGCAGCAGUGAGGAAUAUUGGUCAAUGGCCGGAAGUCUGAACCAGCCAAGCCGCGUGAAGGACGAAGGUGCCAAGCAUUGUAAACUUCUUUUGUCAAGGGACAAAAUCAGGCUCGAGAGCCUGACCGAGGGUACUUGAAGAAAAAGCAUCGGCUAACUCCGUGCCAGCAGCCGCGGUAAUACGGAGGAUGCGAGCGUUAUCCGGAUUUAUUGGGUUUAAAGGGUGCGUAGGCGGACUGUUAAGUCAGCGGUAAAAGCCCGGGGCUCAACCCCGGCGAGCCGUUGAAACUGGCUGUCUUGAGAGGGCGAGAGGUAUGCGGAAUGCGCAGUGUAGCGGUGAAAUGCUUAGAUAUUGCGCAGAACUCCGAUUGCGAAGGCAGCAUACCGGAGGCGAUCUGACGCUGAGGCACGAAAGCGUGGGUAUCGAACAGGAUUAGAUACCCGUGUAGUC
rnacentral:rRNA from 1 species